AAUAUUGUUUAUUUUGUGAUUGAAAAUAAUAAAGCAACGUCGAGCGUGGAUAGUACUUGGAUGGGUGACCGCUUGGGAACACCACGUAACGUUGGCG
rnacentral:rRNA from 1 species